rnacentral:tmRNA from 1 species
GGGGGCGUACUGGCUUCGACGUGGGUGCUGAAACAUAAGGAGCAUACAGGGGCGCAUGAGGACCUCUUUAAAAACGUGCAUUUUGUAAUUGGCAACGAUUACGCACUUGCAGCUUAAUUAGCCGCACGAUCAACUUUGAGGUGGUUGCGCUCUUAGAUUGAUUGUCAUUUAGUGACCUCGGUGAGCUGGGUUUUCUCCAGCAGGCUCGCUUAAAUCCACUGGGGGAAUGUUUGAUGGGAACUUUGUCGAUAGAGGUCCCAUCAUCAUAUUAAAAUAUCGACUAAGUAUGUAGCGCCUUAUCGCGGAUCACUUGCGGACGGGGGUUCAAUUCCCCCCGCCUCCACCA